rnacentral:rRNA from 1 species
AACGAACGCUGGCGGCAGGCUUAACACAUGCAAGUCGAACGCCCCGCAAGGGGAGUGGCAGACGGGUGAGUAACGCGUGGGAAUCUACCUAGUUCUACGGAACAACUGAGGGAAACUUCAGCUAAUACCGUAUACGCCCUACGGGGGAAAGAUUUAUCGGAAUUAGAUGAGCCCGCGUAAGAUUAGCUAGUUGGUGGGGUAAUGGCCUACCAAGGCGACGAUCUUUAGCUGGUCUGAGAGGAUGAUCAGCCACACUGGGACUGAGACACGGCCCAGACUCCUACGGGAGGCAGCAGUGGGGAAUAUUGGACAAUGGGCGCAAGCCUGAUCCAGCCAUGCCGCGUGAGUGAUGAAGGCCUUAGGGUUGUAAAGCUCUUUCAGUGGGGAAGAUAAUGACGGUACCCACAGAAGAAGCCCCGGCUAACUUCGUGCCAGCAGCCGCGGUAACAC